GAAAUGCGAUAACUAAUGUGAAUUGCAGAAUUCAGUGAAUCAUCGAGUCUUUGAACGCACAUUGCGCCCCCUGGUAUUCCGGGGGGCAUGCCUGUCCGAGCGUCAUUGCUGCCCUCAAGCCCGGCUUGUGUGUUGGGCCCUCGUCCCCCGGCUCCCGGGGGACGGGCCCGAAAGGCAGCGGCGGCACCGCGUCCGGUCCUCGAGCGUAUGGGGCUUCGUCUUCCGCUCCGUAGGCCCGGCCGACGCCCGCCGACGCAUUUAUUUGCAACUUGUUUUUUUCCAGGUUGACCUCGGAUCAGGUAGGGAUACCCGCUGAACUUAAGC
rnacentral:misc_RNA from 1 species